GACGAGGGAUCCUAGCGUUGUUCGGAAUCAUUGGGCGUAAAGAGUAUGUAGGCGGCCUUGUAAGUCAGUUGUGAAAGCCCCGGGCUCAACCCGGGAAGUGCAAUUGAUACUGCUUGGCUUGAAUGUGGAAGAGGGCAGUAGAAUUCCUGGUGUAGUGGUGAAAUACGUAGAUAUCAGGAGGAACACCAAUGGCGAAGGCAGCUCGCUGGGACGGUACUGACGCUGAGACGCGAAAGCGUGGGGAGCAAACAGG
rnacentral:rRNA from 1 species